UCUGAAUGUCAGCGGACACAGCUGCGUCUCAUCUGAAUUCAGUCAUGGCUUUGAGGGAAGGCACGGGCUGGUUCUCGGUAUUAGUGUCGCCAUAAAGAAGAUCGCAUUGAUCUCCCGGUGCAGCCUCCAGCGUCGCUGGGACCGUGGAUCGCUGGUGUUCACCGUGAGGCGCUCUGAGUAGCAGGAAACUAAUGAGGGCGGCGUUGUCAGCUCUGUUUGUUUGUGCGGUUAAAGUGCUGGUGGCUUAAAAUUAACUUGGAAAAAUCUCAUCGUUCAACUCGACGACGCAGGCUUUCACGCACCCAGUCGGUUCUCCUUAACAACGAGCGCUGUCAGCAACGUGCCACCGACUAAACGUGGGCAAAGACAUGACCCAAUCCAUGCCUGCCUCAGAGAAACAGCAAAUACACAACAAUAUAUGAAACAUAACGAUCUGAGACAAAAGUGAAAUAUACUUCACCAACGACGGUCUGAAGGUAACACUUAAAGCAGCUGAAGAAGCCGACCAGCAAACAUUUUCAAUGUCGAAUAAAACAAAAAUGAAAACAAUUUAAGUGUUUUUCUUCUUUAUCAAUUCAACAACAAAAGCAUUCACGAACCUUUAAUUUACUAACUUUAUAUUAUUAAGUUUUAUUAUUAUUAUUAUUAUUAUUAUUACUUUUUUUUUUCGUGUAAUCCACACACACGGCCCCAGAAUCACCGCCAGCUCACACGGACAAACGGAGCUGACAACACCGGUUUAAUCCACUUCCUGCUACUCAGAGCGCCUCACGGUGAACACCAGCGAUCCACGGUCCCAGCGACGCUGGAGGCUGCACCUGGAGAUCAAUGCGAUCUUCUUUAUGGCGACACUAAUACCGAGAACCAGCCCGUGCCUUCCCUCAAAGCCAUGACUGAAUUCAGAUGAGACG